UACGAGGGGGGCGAGCGUUGUUCGGAAUUAUUGGGCGUAAAGGGUGCGUAGGCGGUUCGGUAAGUUUCGUGUGAAAUCUUCGGGCUCAACUCGAAGUCUGCACGAGAUACUGCCAGGCUUGAGUGUGGGAGAGGUGAGUGGAAUUUCCGGUGUAGCGGUGAAAUGCGUAGAUAUCGGAAGGAACACCUGUGGCGAAAGCGGCUCACUGGACCAUAACUGACGCUGAGGCACGAAAGCUAGGGGAGCAAACAGG
rnacentral:rRNA from 1 species